AGCAGCCGCGGUAAUUCCAGCUCCAAUAGCAUAUAUUAAAGUUGUUGCAGUUAAAAAGCUCGUAGUUGAAUUUCGGGAUUAGUACGUUGGUCGUGCCUUAGGUACGUACUGGUGUUACUGGUUCCUACCUUCUGACGAACCAUUAUGUCAUUAAUUUGGUGUGGCGGGGAAUCAGGACUGUUACUUUGAAAAAAUUAGAGUGUUUAAAGCAGGCUCGCGCUUGAAUACAUUAGCAUGGAAUAAUGAAAUAGGACGUUGACCCUAUUUUGUUGGUUUCUAGGAUUGACGUAAUGAUUAAUAGGGAUAGUUGGGGGCAUUAGUAUUCAAUUGUCAGAGGUGAAAUUCUUGGAUUUAUUGAAGACUAACUACUGCGAAAGCAUUUGCCAAGGAUGUUUUCAUUAAUCAAGAACGAAAGUUAGGGGAUCGAAGACGAUCAGAUACCGUCGUAGUCUUAACCAUAAACUAUGCCGACUAGGGAUCGGAUGAUGUUAUUUUUAAUGACUCAUUCGGCGCCUUACG
rnacentral:rRNA from 1 species